AUGAAGGCAGCUUUGAGCGUCUGUGUAUUAGCUAGUGAGGAUUUGUGUUCGAUCAAAACCAACAUUGGCAUGGCGGAGGGCGGCAGCAGCAGCGCCGCAGCGGCCAGCCUACCCCCGGGGGACCCGCAGCUCAUCGCCCUCAUCGUGGAGCACCUGAAGAACCGAGGGCUUUUUGAUGAGUUCCGCAGAGAUUGUCUGGCAGAUGUGGACACUAAGCCUGCCUAUCAGAACCUGCGCCAGAGAGUGGACAACUACGUGUCCACGCAGUUGAGCACGCAGGAGUGGAACGCGUCCAUCAACAAGAACCAGAUGAGGAACGGUCUCCGGCAGAGUGUUGUCCAAUCGUGUAUGCUGGAAUCUGGCGUGGACCGGAUCAUUACUCAAGUGGUGGAUCCUAAAAUGAACCACACGUUUCGGCCGCUCAUUGAAACGGCCAUUCAUGAUUUUCUGUCGGGGGAAAGGAAGGAGGAAAUCCAUGCAGAUUCUAAUCUUACACCUUCAGAGCCGCUGGAUCAGCCGGAGGUCCCCCCUUCUGCAGGCCCCACAACCCCCUGAGGUCAAGACCAAAGACGCUUACAGUGUCAGGAUUACUGCACUACAUUCACACUAGUUCCUGCUGUGAUUGGAUGUCUGCAUAGAAGCUCUGUGACCGGUCACAUGGUGUCAUGUAAACGUUGGCUCCACAAUGGGUUCCUGCUGGAGAGACGGUUCUGAUGGUGAAAGGUGGUCUGAGGGAGCAGCUCUCUGCCAGACGUGUCUAUGGGGGGACAGGCUGGAACACAUGCAGGGAGCUGUGCCAUGAGAUGUUUUGGAAAUAGUUUUUAUAUUCAACUUUUAGGUCGGUCUGACUUAUUUUAAUUUUUUAUGGAUUAAAUUUAUGCAUUAGUUAUUUUGUAUAUUUCGUGCAAUAAAUACAUUGAAUGAAAAACA